AUACGUAGGUGGCGAGCGUUGUCCGGAUUUACUGGGUGUAAAGGGCGCGUAGGCGGGAAGGCAAGUCAGGUGUGAAAUCUAUGGGCUCAACCCAUAAACUGCACUUGAAACUGUUUUUCUUGAGUGUCGGAGAGGUAGAUGGAAUUCCUAGUGUAGCGGUGAAAUGCGUAGAUAUUAGGAGGAACACCAGUGGCGAAGGCGAGCUACUGGACGAUAACUGACGCUGAGGCGCGAAAGCGUGGGGAGCAAACAGGAUUAGAUUCCCUGGUAGUCCACGCCGUAAACGAUGAAUACUAGGUGUGGGUGGGACUGACCCCAUCCGUGCCGCAGCUAACGCAAUAAGUAUUCCACCUGGGGAGUACGGCCGCAAGGCUGAAACUCAAAUGAAUUGGCGGGG
rnacentral:rRNA from 1 species